GGCCUCACAAUGCUUACCACAGACUGUGUUCUUUACACUGAUUGUCUAGAAAGAGGAGGUACAGUAAAUGUACCCACAUACACCUCAGCCCAGACCCUUUGCCUGGAAUGUAUUGUGAAUGGGAGGACAUGG